CGAGCCUCUGGAGAGAUUUCUUAAAGGAAACACCGAAGGAGCAAAGCUUAAUUUUAUUAAGCCUAAACUCUCAGGUAAAAGGACGGAGGA
rnacentral:ncRNA from 1 species